rnacentral:rRNA from 1 species
UACGUAGGGUGCAAGCGUUGUCCGGAAUUAUUGGGCGUAAAGAGCUCGUAGGCGGUUUGUCGCGUCGGCUGUGAAAUCCCGAGGCUCAACCUCGGGCCUGCAGUCGAUACGGGCAAACUAGAGUACUGCAGGGGAGACUGGAAUUCCUGGUGUAGCGGUGGAAUGCGCAGAUAUCAGGAGGAACACCGGUGGCGAAGGCGGGUCUCUGGGCAGUAACUGACGCUGAGGAGCGAAAGCGUGGGGAGCGAACAGG